UACGAAGGGGGCUAGCGUUGCUCGGAAUCACUGGGCGUAAGGGUGCGUAGGCGGGUCUUUAAGUCAGGGGUGAAAUCCUGGAGCUCAACUCCAGAACUGCCUUUGAUACUGAAGAUCUUGAGUUCGGGAGAGGUGAGUGGAACUGCGAGUGUAGAGGUGAAAUUCGUAGAUAUUCGCAAGAACACCAGUGGCGAAGGCGGCUCACUGGCCCGAUACUGACGCUGAUGCACGAAAGCGUGGGGAGCAAACAGG
rnacentral:rRNA from 1 species